UGUGUGGAAAGGCCCCCAAAAUACAUCAGAUAUGGUCGGGAGGCUCUGGAGCACAAAGAGUGCCAAGAUCUGAUCAGGCGGUGUUUAUCCAUGCUGCACUUGGACAGGCCCUCCUUAGAAGAGCUGCUCUGUGAUCCCUGGAUGCAGAAUAUUCAUCUGCCCUAGAAGAAGGGAGAGAGCCACAGGCACACGUGGAUGCAGGGCCCUGGGAAGGAGAAGGAGUCCUUGGAGAAGCUGUACCAGGUGGGGCUGCUGCUGCAGGGGGCAGCGAGGACGACAUCAAGGAUGACAACCUCUUGCUCCUCCUGGUCUCCGGCAGGCUGAAGAUGAUGGAGUUUGAUUCUGGCACCUUCUCCAAAUCCAG
rnacentral:lncRNA from 1 species